rnacentral:misc_RNA from 1 species
AAAGUCGUAACAAGGUUUCCGUAGGUGAACCUGCGGAAGGAUCAUUAUCGUGGGGCUCCGGCCCCGUCGAGAUAACACCCUUGCCUUUAUGAGUACCGCCCGUUUCCUCGGCAGGCCCGCCUGCCAGUGGGGACAACAACAACACCCUGAAGCACCUGUAACAGUCUGAUAAAACAAACAAAAAUCAAAACUUUCAACAACGGAUCUCUUGGUUCUG